rnacentral:rRNA from 1 species
AGAGUUCGAUUAUGGCUCAGGAUGAACGCUGGCGGCGUGCUUAACACAUGCAAGUCGAACGGAGAGCUUGUGACAGAGGAUUCGUCCAAUGGAUCAAGUUUCUUAGUGGCGGACGGGUGAGUAACGCGUGAGGAACCUGCCUUGGAGUGGGGAAUAACAGGUGGAAACAUCUGCUAAUACCGCAUGAAGCAGUUGGGCCGCAUGGCUCUGACUGCCAAAGAUUUAUCGCUCUGAGAUGGCCUCGCGUCUGAUUAGCUGGUUGGCGGGGUAACGGCCCACCAAGGCGACGAUCAGUAGCCGGACUGAGAGGUUGGCCGGCCACAUUGGGACUGAGACACGGCCCAG